GAAAUCUUUGGGAUUUAUUGGCCUUGGGGCGAGAAAUCCUGAACGGAUCCCGGGAUCCCAAACCCCGAUCCCACAAAUCCGGCCAGGGAGGGAGAGGAGCACGGGGAACGGUCCUGGAGGACACCAGGAGCUCCUGGAGGACAUGGGAAGGUUCUGGAGGACACCAGGAGGUUCUGGAGGACACCAGGAGGUUCUGGAGGAUCCCAGGAGGUUCUGGAGAACAUCAGGAGCUUGUGGGGGACAUGGGAAGGUUCUGGAGAACACCGGAAGGUUCUGGAGAACACCAGGAGGUUCUGGAGAACAUCAGGAGGUCCUGGAGGACAUGGGAAGGUUCUGGAGAACACCAGGAGGUUCUGGAGAACACUGGGGAGCCAUGGAAGGUUCUGGAGAACACUGGGGAGGCCCUGAAGGCCAUGGGAGGUUCUGGAGAACAUCAAGGAGCCCUGGAAGGUUCUGGAAAGUUCUGGAGAACACCGAGGAGCCCUGGAAAGUUCUGGAGAACCGGGGGAGCUCUGGAAGGUUCUGGAGAACAUUGAGGAGCCCUGGAAAGUUCUGGAAAGUUCUGGAGAACAUCAAGGAGCCCUGGAAGGUUCUGGAGAACACCGAGGAGCCCUGGGAGGUUCUGGAAGGUUCUGGAGAACACUGAGGAGCCCUGGAAGGUUCUGGAGAACACAGGGGAGCCCUGGAGGUCAUGGGAGGUUCUGGAGAACAUCCAGGACCCUGGAAGGU